AUUGAACGCUGGCGGCAUGCCUUACACAUGCAAGUCGAACGGCAGCACGGACUUCGGUCUGGUGGCGAGUGGCGAACGGGUGAGUAAUGUAUCGGAACGUACCUUUCAGAGGGGGAUAACGUAGCGAAAGUUACGCUAAUACCGCAUAUUCUGUGAGCAGGAAAGCAGGGGAUCGAAAGACCUUGCGCUGAUUGAGCGGCCGAUAUCAGAUUAGCUAGUUGGUGGGGUAAAGGCCUACCAAGGCGACGAUCUGUAGCGGGUCUGAGAGGAUGAUCCGCCACACUGGAACUGAGACACGGUCCAGACUCCUACGGGAGGCAGCAGUGGGGAAUUUUGGACAAUGGGGGCAACCCUGAUCCAGCCAUGCCGCGUGAGUGAAGAAGGCCUUCGGGUUGUAAAGCUCUUUCGGCCGGGAAGAAAUCGCAUAGGCUAAUACCCUGUGUGGAUGACGGUACCGGAAGAAGAAGCACCGGCUAACUACGUG
rnacentral:rRNA from 1 species